rnacentral:tRNA from 1 species
GAGGUUUUAGCUUAAUUAAAGUGUCUGGGUUGCAUUCAGAAGAUGUAUGUUUUAACUUACAAGCCUU